rnacentral:rRNA from 1 species
AGCGAACGCUGGCGGCAGGCCUAACACAUGCAAGUCGAACGAACUCUUCGGAGUUAGUGGCGGACGGGUGAGUAACACGUGGGAACGUGCCUUUUGGUUCGGAAUAACUCAGGGAAACUUGAGCUAAUACCGAAUGUGCCCUUCGGGGGAAAGAUUUAUCGCCAUUAGAGCGGCCCGCGUCUGAUUAGCUAGUUGGUGAGGUAACGGCACACCAAGGCGACGAUCAGUAGCUGGUCUGAGAGGAUGACCAGCCACACUGGGACUGAGACACGGCCCAGACUCCUACGGGAGGCAGCAGUGGGGAAUCUUGCGCAAUGGGCGAAAGCCUGACGCAGCCAUGCCGCGUGAAUGAUGAAGGUCUUAGGAUUGUAAUAUUCUUUCACCGGGGACGAUAAUGACGGUACCCGGAGAAGAAGCCCCGGCUAACUUCGUG